ensembl:lncRNA
UUUCUAAUUCUGUUAGGUGUCGUUUGAGGUUGUUUAUGUAAGAUUUUUCUUGCUUAUUGAGGUGAGCCUGUAUUGCAAUGAAUUUCCCUCUUGAGACUGCCUUUGCUGCGUCCCAAAUCAUUUGGUACAGUGUGUUUUCAUUUUCAUUUGUCUCCAGAUAAUAUUUGAUUUCUUCUUUAAUUUCUUCAAUAAUCCAUUGUUUGUUCAAUAGCAUGUUGUUUAGUCUCCACAUUUUUGGCCCUUUCCCAGCUUUAUUCUUGUAGUUGAUUUCUAGUUUCAUAGCAUUAAGAUCAGAAAAGAUGCUCGAUAUUAUUUCAACUCUCUUGAACUUAUUGAUGCUUGCUUUGUUGCCCAAGAUAUGGUCUAUCCUUGAGAAUGUUCCAUGCACGCUUGAGAAGAAUGUGUAACCUGCUGUUUUUGGAUGAAGUGUCCUAUAUAUAUAUCUAUUAGGUCCAUCUGAUGUAAUUUUUCAUUUAAUUUUAUAAUUUCCUUGUUGAUUUUCUGUCUGGAUGAUCUGUCCAUUGGUGUUAAUGGGGUGUUGAGGUCCCCUACUAUUAUUGUAUUGCUGUUGAUGUCUCCUUUUAGUUUUGUUAAUAGUUUCUUUACGAAUUUUGGUGCUCCUGUGUUAGGUGCAUAUAUAUUUAUAAGUGUUAUGUCAUCUUGGUGGAGCGUCCCUUUUAUCAUUAUAUACUGCCCCUCUUUGUCUUUCUUUAUCUGUUUUGCUUUGAAGUCUACUUUGUCUGAUAUAAGUAUGGCAACACCUGCUUUCUUUUGUUCAUUAUUAGCUUGGAGUAUGGUCUUCCAUCCCUUCACUUUGAGUCUGUGUUUGUCUUUGGGGCUGAGGUGUGUUUCCUGAAGGCAGCAUAUUGUUGGAUCUUGUUCUUUGAUCCAUCCUGCCACUCUGUGCCUUUUGAUUGGAGAGUUCAAUCCAUUCACGUUUAGAGUGAUUAUUGAAACGUGGGGGCCUACCAUUGCCAUUUUAUCACUUGUUUUCUGGUUCUUUUGCAUUUUGUCCUGAUGGAGAGCUGUUACUUUGCGUUAUUGUCCUUCUGCUUAUCUCCUUUGUUCUGGAUUUUGUAACCCCUUUCCUUUUUUUGAUUUUUCAGGAAUGAGGUUCUUCCUGAGCAUUUCCUGAAGAGGAGGUUUCCUGGUGAUGAACUCCCUUAACUUUUGUUUAUCUGGGAAAGUUUUUAUUUCUCCAUCGUAUUUGAAGGAUAUUUUAACUGGGUAGAGUAUUCUUGGCUGCAAGUUUUUGUCCUUCAGAGUUUUGAAUAUUUCAUUCCAAUCUCUUCUAGCCUGUAAGGUCUCUCCUGAGAAAUCUGCUGAUAGCCUUAUGGGGUUUCCUUUGUAAGUUAUUUUCUUCUGCCUGGCUGCCCUUAGUAUUUUCUCUUUGUCAUUGACUUUUGCUAGUUUCACUACUAUAUGCCUUGGGGUUGGUCUUCUUGCAUUAAUAAAGUUUGGAGAUCUAUUGGCUUCUGUCACAUGAAGUUCCAUCUCUCUUCCCAAGUUUGGAAAGUUCUCAGCUAUUAUUUCUUUGAACAGGCCUUCUGCCCCCUUCUCCUCUUCUCCCUCUGGUAUACCUAUAAUCCUUAUGUUGCAUCUCCUAAUUGAGUCUGAUAAUUCUCAGAGAGUUUCUUCAUUUCUUUUUAGUCUUGGUUCUCUCUCCUCCUCUGUCUGCAGCAUUUCUAUAUUCCUAUCCUCCAAAUUGCUAAUUCUGUCCUCCAUAUUAUCGACCCUACUGUUCAGAGAGUCCAGAUUUUUCUUAAUCUCCUCCAUUGUGUUCUUCAUCUCCAGUAUUUCUAAUUGGUUCUUCUUUAUAGUAUCAAGCUUUUUUGUGACAUAGCUCCUGAACUCAUUGAGUUGUCUAUCGGAAUUCUCUUUUAACUCGUUGAGUUUUUUAAUAAUGGCAGUUUUGAAAUCAUCAUCAUUUAGGUUAUAGAUUUCAUUGUCUUUGGGAUUGUUUUCUGGGUGCUUAUCAUUUUCCUUCUGUUCUGGAUCUUUAAUAUAUUUGUUCAUACUGCUUUAUGGCAUGGAUUUGUGCCUCCGCAUACAGAUAAAGUUUAGUCGCUGCUUCCACUUGUUGCAACUGGUGUGGGGGGGACAGCUGUUUAGACCGCACCAACCAGGAACCCUGUCAGCUGUUACUGACUGGACCUGGACCCCUCCUCAUAGUCACAGUGGUCCUGUGGGGUCCCUCGUUGGUUGUGGGGGCAAUCGCAAGGGGGCCUCAGGCUGCUGGUGCCUACUGUUGCAGCCCCCUUAGACGCGCUCCCUUCUUUUGGUCUGCAGCAGUGUUGUGGGCUUUCCCAGCAGCCAGGAGCAGGAUCACCUAUAAUCACCGCUUUGUCCCUAACAGAGCCCACAAGAUCACACUUGUCCACUAUAGGUCCCAGCAGAGCUAUAGGUAUCUUCUGCAGUCUGUCGUUAGCUCACCUAGCUGUGCUACUUUUGCCCCAGGGCCUUCCCGCCUUGCAAUUGCCAGUUGGGACCUCUCCACUAGUGCUGUGCAGAAGCUUUUGCUGAGGCUGCUGUAGGAACCUGGAGUUCCCCCCGGGCUACAUAGCCAUUUCACUGGAGCUCCACUCUGCCCCAUUCCACUCUCACGGGAUCUCUGGGAGCCCCUUGCCUCGUCUGGGACAUGGUCAGAGUCUGUGGGCCUGGCGGUGGCUUGUAAGCUGCUGCCUUGUGGGGAAUUCUGCUCUAGGAAGCUUCCUGGUGUUCCAAAUGCUGGGCGGGGCCUCCCUGCCAGUGGCGAGCAGAGGCCCUCCCUGCUGGGGGGGUGCGGGACCCUGGAGUGUCCCUCCGGGCCGCAGAGCCAGUGUUGGAGCUCCACCCAGUCCCCAAGCACAUCCACGGGAAGUCCAGGCACCCCCUGCACCGACCCAUGCGCCAGAGACCAUGGGCCCAGCAUCAGCUUCCGGUCUGGUGCUGGGCCGGGGAAUCUGCCCACCAGGAGCUUCCCUUUGUCCUGGAUUCUGGGCGGGGCCUCCCUGCUAAUGGUGAGCAGAGGCCUUCCCUGCUGGUGGGUGCAGGACCCUCGGGAUUCCCCCUGGGCUUAGGUGUAAUCACGGGGGGCUUGAGUAGGGCUGUUGUCACCUGUUUCCACUGUCACUCUGCUGGUGAGUGCACACUCCUGCCCUUGGUGUGUGGCGAUGCUAUGGGGGAGUCUGCUGGAAGAGAGCCUCCUGCAGGAGCUAGGCCAACCAGGGGUCGGGUGUCAGAGAGUUUUCAAUUAUUUCCACCUCCUCCUGGGGGGGAAGUCCGUCCGCCUUCCAAUGUAUAGAAGCACGAGACUCUUAGGCGUCUUGAGAUACUAUCUGGAUAUCCUUUGUUAAUCGGUGAAUGUCCAAUUAGUUGUAGAUUCAAUGGGGGGGGGACAAAGAAGACCAAUCACUCCGCUAUCUUGGUCCUGCCUAUUAGCACACUCUUAUUGCAACUGUCCUCUUAAUUGGAUUGGUACCCAGUGUAGCUGGUUGCUAGGCUUGGGGUGUACAGUUGUGAUAGGUCUGAGGCCAACAAGGCUGAUGUCAGUUCUCUUACGAGUGCAGCUGAGUAGAGCUAGGCCUUGGCAUGGAGGCACUCAGUUGUUUCAGGCUUUGGAAGGUGGGCUGAUCCUUUUUAUGGCUAUUUGUGAAACACAAGUCUUCUGCCGCUGAUAAGCCUCACCCUCCUCUGGACCACAUACACUGUCAGCACAGUCCUGGUCCAUGCACACUUCUCAACCCCGUGGAGCGUACCCCAACACCACACUGCAGAGGCCUCCACCUCUGCCCCAAUGCCCCCCACAGUUCACCUGGUCCUUACACAAGCCCUGCCCCACAGAGGCAGACACCUUUGCCUGCCUGUAGAGGAUCAAGACACCCAGUCAAUGCAGGCUGAAAAGUAGCCUGAGGGCUUGCUGUUAGGUGGGGCCAGUCCCUAGGGCGGGUUGCCUGCCCUGGCUGAACUGGAUUAAAUCUGUGCUCUAGUGGGUGUGGCAGACCCCCCCGGGCUAACAGCCCAAGGAUCGCACCUCAAUGGCCCCCACCUGUGUCCGUAUCAGCACGCCUGGACCAGCUCAUAACAACGGCCCCCACCAAUGUCUCGGUCUCCCGAGAGGAUCUUCCGCUCACCAAGAUGCCCCCAGAGCCCACCAGGUGAGUCUUGUUUCACCAAACGACAGUCAGCCUUCUCUCUGGUGACUUUAGGUUGCUGCAAUGAGUGAGUUUGUGCGUGGGCCCUUUAAGACCCGGAUCUUUUCGGCUUUCGGCCAAUAGCUUUUCUGGGGUGUCCUCGCUGCAGUUGAUAGGCAGCAAAGACAGACAGUAAGACCCCCCUCUCAGUUGGGCUGAGUCCGAAGGAUGGUUAUAGCAGUAUUGCCCCCGCUACGAACCUCACUCCUCCAGGGAGGGCUCGUACCUUAGGUUGGCUCCCGCCUGGCCAGCUGAGAAGCUCCGCUGCUCCCAAAGGUGGCUUUUUUCCUCUCUGCCCGGAGUUACUGCCUCUUCUGCUUUCGUCAGGACUGUCCCUUGUUGUGGGGGUUCUCUUUAUCCAGUUUUCAGUUUUCAAUCCAGGGUGAUUCUUCCUAAAAUUGUUGUAACCUGGUUGUGCUUGUGGGAGGAGGUGAGUUCAACGUCUGCUCACAGCGCCAUCUUGAUGAGAACCUGUUGACACUGUUUUGAUCACACCAGACAGGAUCAAGUGAGGACUAUGGCCUGACGGACAGUGAUGGUUGACUACUUGCCAGGUGCCAUACUGACUCUGAGGAUUGAAGUGUAAAUAAGGCAUAGACCUUGAUGUCAUAGAGCUCAUAAUGUAGCAGAAGAUGUGGACAUGUAAACAUCGAACAAGUGUGGAGGCACCACACAGCACUGGGAGAGUCGAAGGGAAGAGCUCACUCCUUCUUGAUGCUGACUAUCAGACAUUUUGAGAGCAAGUUUUCAAAUGGAAGUAGAGAAAGCAUGAAGACAGGAGAGGGUUAAAGGACACAGGAAGAUGAGAUCAUGAGAGUCAGAACAUAAAAUCCAGCUACAUCGAAAUUUGGUUGAGUACAAUUCCUGCUGAAGAAAGAAUGAAUAUGAUCUGUUAAUAAAACUUGUGAGUUGUAUUGUGGGGAAAUAAGCAGUUAUUUUACACGUAUGGCAAUACUAAUGGCUAAAGGUACCACAUAGGGGAAUAACAUGAAGCAAACGAUAAGCAAACCUCUAAUGAAACAUAUUUUUAUUGUAGUCUAAUUGAAAUUCCAGCAACAUAGAAUUGCAAAUAUUCAAAAGUAAGCCAUACACUGCCAUUGAGCAACAGCUCUUGACACACAUACUGACUUUGAUUUCUAAAAGGUG